AGAGCUGAGGAAAGCUCUCUGGGGAAGUGUCCUGAGUCACGAACAAAUGAAUUAUGAAAACGUUUCUUUCAGGCAAUGAUAUGGAGGCCCAUGAUGAUCAGAGAGAGGGAUGCAGGGACAAGUACUGCCAAGCAGGAAAGUCUUGGACAUGACAAUGAGCCACAAGCAGGAACUGGGCACGUGUGAUGCUGAGAGUGGAAGGGGAGACCAGGACAAGGGAUUACAGGGACAAGACACUAGAAGAGGAGAAGUUACAGUGCAGAGGAAUGCCAAGUAACAAGGGAAUUGAAGAAAACGGAAGCUCCAGGUGUGUGACAAUUAUGGUAUUUCUGGCAUGUGUACAAGUUCAGGGAUACUGUGGGCUUGGGAAUGACCGAUCUGUUGGACAAGUGCCCUCUUUUUGUUAAUCAUUUCUUUAUUUUGCAUCCUGCUGCUAUCUGGAAACACUGUCCUCACUUAUUUACCUCUUCUACAUAUAGGGUCCUUUGGAUACUGGAGAGAUUUUAAGACUCAAAGGAGCUCAUAUUCCAGGAAUGACAUGCUGGUCUGCACACACAGUUUACCUAGAAGGAAAGAUGCCUAGCACCUUGGCUUCUCAGACUCCUUUAGAAGUUGGCUUUAAAAUAGUACAAAAUCUGCAGGGUAAACAACUGUUCCUAGACACAUAAAAUGAAGUGAUUGCCGAAAGCUGUCAAGUAGAGCUUGCUGUCUGAAUGUCUCUGCAUUGUCCUACAGGAAAGGCUGAGCUCUGGGGGGGGGGCGUACUCAGGCUCAGCAUCUUUCCAGGUCUGCAAACUUGGACACAUGCCUCAAUUCACUAACCUUAGCUUCCUUUUCUAACAGAGAAAAGGGAUAAUAUCUUCUGCAUCUUGCCAGUGUUCAAGUAAAAAAUGAUGUCAAAACACUUGGCUUCCAUAAAUGCUAACCGUUACUAUCCUUAUAACCGUACAACUACUAUUUCACUUCCUGAAUUCCUUUGUAUACACAACAGAAGUCUAAACUCUUAACUGGGAUUUAGAUGUGUUUGGAUGCAAACUAGGAGGACUGCUAUUAAAAUAAAAUUUUAAGGCAGGCUUGUGUGAGGAGCCGC
rnacentral:lncRNA from 1 species